rnacentral:sRNA from 1 species
GUGCAUGGCUGUCGUCAGCUCGUGUCGUGAGAUGUUGGGUUAAGUUCCGCAACGAGCGCAACCCUCGUUUUUAGUUGCCAGCAUUAAGUUGGGCACUCUAGAGAGACUGCCGGUGACAAACCCGGAGGAAGGUGGGGAUGACGUCAAGUCAGCAUGCCCCUUACGUCCUGGGCUACACACGUACUACAAUGCUACGGACAAAGGGCAGCAAGUUAGCGAUGACAAGCAAAUCCCAUAAACCGUGGCUCAGUUCAGAUUGCAGGCUGCAACUCGCCUGCAUGAAGGUGGAAUCGCUAGUAAUCGCAGGUCAGCAAUACUGCGGUGAAUACGUUCCCGGGCCUUGUACACACCGCCCGUCACACCAUGGAAGCUGGCUUAGCCCGAAGUCGUUACCCUAACCCGCAAGGGGGGGGGAUGCCGAAGGCAGGGCUGGUGACUGGGGUGAAGUCGUAACAAGGUAGCCGUACCGGAAGGUGUGGCUGGAUCACCUCCUUUUAAGGGAGACCGAACCAAUCUGAAACCGAAAAAUAGUAAAUAGGUACAGAUCAGGUCAUUCCUACGGUCGAGCGAAGAAAUAAAGUGUGGCUUUCAAACUGUAAGUGGUUUAGGUAAUUGGGGCUAUUAGCUCAGGUGGUUAGAGCGCACCCCUGAUAAGGGUGAGGUCCCUGGUUCGAGUCCAGGAUGGCCCACCUAAAAAGUGGGGGUAUAGCUCAGUUGGUAGAGCGCUGCCUUUGCAAGGCAGAUGUCAGCGGUUCGAGUCCGCUUACCUCCACCUUAGAAGUUAUAAAAGUGAUAAAAUAAACUAACCGGAAAGAUUCAGCACCAUGAUGCGGCGAUAGCGCUUCAGGCUGCUGGAAUGAAUUCCAGCAUAUCGAACCUUGAAAACUGCAUAGUAACGCGUGGAAAUUAGGCGGUAGAGAAUGUCAAUUGCGACAUUUUAGACCGUCAAACAAAACAUCAAUGUGGUCAAGCUAAUUAGGGCUUACGGUGGAUACCUWGGCACACAGAGGCGADG